GUAGUCAUAUGCUUGUCUCAAAGCUUAAGCCAUGCAAGUCUCAGUACGAGCUGCAUUAAAGUGAAACCGCAAAAGGCUCAGUAAACCGGUCAUAGUUUACCGGACAUAUACCACUUACGUGGAUAACUGUGGUAAUUCUAGAGCUAAUAC
rnacentral:rRNA from 1 species